AGAGUUUGAUCAUGGCUCAGGAUGAACGCUGGCGGCGUGCUUAACACAUGCAAGUCGAACGAGCGGUUCUCUUCGGGGGACCGCGAGUGGCGGACGGAGUAACGCGUGGGUAACCUGCCCCAUACAGGGGGAUAACAGCUGGAAACGGCUGAUAAUACCGCAUAAGCGCACAGUGCCGCAUGGCACGGUGUGAAAAGCCCCGGCGGUAUGGGAUGGGCCCGCGUCUGAUUAGCCAGUUGGCGGGGUAACGGCCCACCAAAGCGACGAUCAGUAGCCGACUUGAGAGAGUGACCGGCCACAUUGGGACUGAGACACGGCCCAAACUCCUACGGGAGGCAGCAGUGGGGAAUAUUGCACAAUGGGCGGAAGCCUGAUGCAGCGACGCCGCGUGAGUGAGGAAGUAUUUCGGUAUGUAAAGCUCUAUCAGCAGGGAAGAAAAUGACGGUACCUGACUAAGAAGCCCCGGCUAAAUACGUGCCAGCAGCCGCGGUAAUACGUAUGGGGCAAGCGUUAUCCGGAUUUACUGGGUGUAAAGGGAGCGCAGGCGGCGAGGCAAGUCAGAAGUGAAAACCCGGGGCUCAACCCCGCGGAUUGCUUUUGAAACUGCCCGGCUGGAGUGCAGGAGGGGCAAGCGGAACUCCUAGUGUAGCGGUGAAAUGCGUAGAUAUUAGGAAGAACACCGGUGGCGAAGGCGGCUUGCUGGACUGUAACUGACGCUGAGGCUCGAAGGCGUGGGGAGCAAACAGGAUUAGAUACCCUGGUAGUCCACGCAGUAAACGAUGAAUACUAGGUGUCGGUGC
rnacentral:rRNA from 1 species